rnacentral:rRNA from 1 species
GAUGAACGCUAGCUACAGGCUUAACACAUGCAAGUCGAGGGGCAGCAUGGAGUUUUCUUCGGAAGACUUUGAUGGCGACCGGCGCACGGGUGAGUAACGCGUAUCGAACCUGCCUCAUACUCGGGAAUAGCCUUGCGAAAGUAAGAUUAAUGCCCGAUGUUCUUGGUGUUCCGCAUGAGGCGCCAAGCGAAGAUUCAUCGGUAUGAGAUGGCGAUGCGUCCCAUUAGCUUGUUGGCGGGGUAACGGCCCACCAAGGCAUCGACGGGUAGGGGGUCUGAGAGGAAGGCCACCCACAUAGGAACUGCGACACGGUCCAAACUCCUACGGGAGGCAGCAGUGAGGAAUAUUGGUCAAUGGACGGAAGUCUGAACCAGCCAAGUAGCGUGCAGGAAGACGGCCCUCCGGGUUGUAAACUGCUUUUAGUUGGGAAUAAACCGCGGGACGUGUCCCGCCUUGUAUGUACCAUCAGAAAAAGGACCGGCUAAUUCCGUGCCAGCAGCCGCCGUAA